rnacentral:lncRNA from 1 species
AAAACCUCCAAACAUUCUCUCCUCUUUAUUUUUUUCCCUUAAAUCCCUUUUGAUUUCCUUUUCAAAAUCGUUCUUUUUUUUUACUUUGUUUUUGCUAGUUAUCUAUUUUCUUUGCAGGUUUCUUCCUUAAUCAUUUUGGCAACAUUAGAGCUUCAUCAUUGCAACCGGCUUGUCAUUUCCAUUAAUAACAUCCUACAGUUUAAAGUUCUCUUUUCAU